rnacentral:rRNA from 1 species
GGGGAAUAUUGGGCAAUGGGCGCAAGCCUGACCCAGCAACGCCGCGUGAGGGAAGAAGGUCUUCGGAUUGUAAACCUCUGUCCUUGGGGACGAAAAAAAUGACGGUACCCAAGGAGGAAGCUCCGGCUAACUACGUGCCAGCAGCCGCGGUAAUACGUAGGGGACAAGCGUUGUCCGGAUUUACUGGGCGUAAAGGGCACGCAGGCGGUUUUUUAAGUCAGAUGUGAAAGGUACCGGCUCAACCGGUGACAUGCAUUUGAAACUGAAAGACUUGAGUAUUGGAGAGGCAAGUGGAAUUCCUAGUGUAGCGGUGAAAUGCGUAGAUAUUAGGAGGAACACCGGUGGCGAAGGCGGCUUGCUGGACAAAUACUGACGCUGAGGUGCGAAAGCGUGGGGAGCAAACA